AAUAAGUUAUCCCGCCUGAAGGAUCAGAGAAGUCAGAAGGUUCUUGAUAUAAUAUAUACCUAGGUAUGAAGUUCAAUCAUAAAUCCCACAAGUAUUAGAAGGAGAUGAAGAAAUAUUCAUACAUCACAGAAGGAGAGUGGAACAAAGGAAAUACUGGAGGGAUGUUAUUUCCAAACUAUCCAAUCUACUGAUAUAUGAUAUCUAAUUAUAGUAGAAUGGUACAAAUAAAGGAUGAAAUCCAAUCAUAGUAGAAUGGUAUAGUUAAGGAUCAAGACUGAAGAAAAAAAGACGAGCAAAAGGACAUCAAAUAGGAUCAAGACUGAAGAAAAAAAGACGAGCAAAAGGACAUCAAAUUUUCAGUCACAGUUCUGGGUUUGAGAGCAGAUGACCCCCCCUUGAGUAUGAUGGUUAGCAAAAUGCAGAAGGAGAAGAGAAUCCUCGAAUUACUACAUUCAUGAUCGAGGUAAUCUAGGGUUUCUACCACUUGGAGUCUGUAUCUCGGUUAACCUGUCUACGUUGAAAAGCAAGAUACUGGUGACACGGCGGUUAAGUCGUAGAAUAAAUACGACUUCGGCAGCCGAACCCGCCUGAAGAUUUUCUUGAAGUCGGGUUUGUGGUGUCCCAAACUUGUGGUGAAACACAAGAGUUUAGUGGUACCGAAAAUUGGUGGAGAAACCGGAGAUUUGAUCUUAAUCGGGUGAGGUAGGUGUAUCUUCAGAGGGGCGAUUCCCUACUUCCUUUGGAAAUUCUUGCCAUAUCUUUUGUGGGUUACUUCGUUGAAAGAUGAAAUUAUAUAUUUUUAGAGAUUAC
rnacentral:lncRNA from 1 species